AUGGACAAUCAAGGUGUACUGGAGAAGGAAGUUUUGGUUUCCAGCACAUCCAACUGUGGGCAAAGCAGGAUCUCACCGUUUAGCACCGUGACUUCUGACCAUUGCAGUUCCCUCCUCAGCGGUCGAGUUUCAGAGGUCAAGGCUGCCUCACUGUGCUACUUGGCUAAUGUGGCACACGCCAGCCGAGUCCGUGUGGGGUCAACCCCCCUGGGUGGCCCCAGCCUCUGUCUGUCACCCCCUUCCACCUUUCACACUGCUUGUCCCUUGCCAGGGACCUGCCACGUUCCUGGCAACAUCGGAAUCUGUGGGGCAAAAACACCCUGAACAGCCACGAGAAGGAGACCAUGCAGUCCCUGAAUGACUGCCUGGCCAGCCACCUGGAUAAGGUGUGCCAGCUGGAGUGGGAGAAUGCGGAGCUGGAGACCAAACUCCCAGAGAGGAGCAAGUGCCACGAGUCCAGCAUGUGCCCGGACUACCAGCCCUGCUUCCGAACCCUCGAGGAGCUCCAGCAGAAGAUUCUGUGCACCAAAUCACAGAACAGUAGGCUGGUUGUGCAAAUAGACAAUGCCAAGUUGCUGGGGAUGACUAGUGAGUUGGGGUACGAGACAGAGCACUGGCUGCACCAGCUGGUGGAGGCUGACCUCUGUGGCCUGCACAGGGUGCUGGACAACCUCACCCUUGCCAAAUGUGACCCGGAGGCCCAGCUGGAAUCCCUGAAGGAAGAGCUGCUUUGCCUCAAGAAGAACCACGAGCAGGAAGCCUGCACUCCGAGGGGUCAGCUGGGAGACAAGCUCUGGAUCAAGCUGGACAUCGAGCCACCACUGACCUGAGCAGGGUGCUGGGGGAGAUGGCGAGGUCAAUACGAGGCCAGGGUGGAGACCAACCACCAGGAUGUGGAACAGUGGUUCCAAGCCCAGUCUGAAGGCAUCAGCCUGCGGGCUCUGUCGGGCUCUGAGGAACUGCAGUGCUUCCAGUUGGAGAUCCUGGAGCUGAGACGCUCGGUGAAUGCCCUGGAGGUGGAGCUUCAGGCUCAGCACACACAGAAGGACUGUCUGCAGAACGCCCUGUGUGAAGCCGGGCACCGCUAUGGCAUGGAGCUGGCCCAGAUGCAGGGCCUCAUCAGCACUCUGUGGAGGAGCCUCAUCAACAAUGUCGAGGAGCAGCUGUCCGAGAUCCAGGCUGACCUGGAGCGGCAGAACCAGGAGUACCAGGUGCUGCUGGACGUGAAGGCCCGGCUGGAGAACGAGAUUGCCACAUACCGGAACCUUCUGGAGAGCGAGGAGUGCAAUUACGUAUUUCCCUGCAACCUGUGAGUGAUCCCAGCCUUCAGCAACCCCAGUCCCACCCCUGCAGCCUGUGCCCUCUGCUCCUGGGCCACCCAUGGGCCCUGCUCAUCAACUGGAUACUGACACUCUCAGCCCGAGGUGCUGGGAAAGGGGAGGCGUCUUCAGCCCCUGAGGCUCCACUGUGCAGGCCUGCUACCUGGGUUUUGCCUCCCUGGCCAGCCAGGCGGGAGGCUGGAGAGAGGCAGUACCACUCUGUGGACAGGUUUCUGAGUCUAGCAGCUCAGCCUCUGUGGCUGGAUUUGUGUUUCCUUCCCUCAAGGUGUCUCGAGUGAUCCAUUUUCUCUCUUCUGUUGCCUCCUGCGCUCUCUGAGAUGGGGCAGAUGUUUUUAUUAUGCUAUUAGACUUCACUUCUGCAGCAGAAUGGGCCCAGUACAUUCGGACCUCAGCAUCUCCAUCCCACGUGGAGAGCCUUGCUGGGAACCCCCUUGGGCCACCUGCUCCUGUAGACAGGGGUUGUGGCUGGCUCACCAGAGUGGUUCUGGGAGAUGGCAAAGCCAGUGAAGACCAGGGUGAAAAUGGGACUGCGGCAAAGUGGCACAGAGGAGAGAUACAUAACCUUUGACCUGACCAAGCGUAUUUAGAGACAGAUUAACAGAACUUUUAAAAUACAGACACUAAGUAAAAUUUCCCUUUUAUCUGGAUAAGCCACCUGGUCCUUCUGCAAAGGAAGAGCUUAAGUCAGUGGUCUGCAGCACUACAGACCAUUGCAAAACCCUGAAAAUAUUAAAUGAUGGUGAUUGCUAUCAGUCUAGAGAGGCCCAAACAACCUGGUCCAUCCAGGCUCCCCAGAUAAGUCCCACUGGUGAGUCCCGCAGCUCUCUGGCUUGAAAUUUGCAGACAAUAGAACAUGAACCAGAAGCUCCAGAACAGGUUGCUGAAAUGGAGCUUUAGGAUGACAUGCCUAUUGUGAGCAAGGCACUGGCUGGGGCUUCACAGACACUGUGUCAUGGGCCCCACAUCAGCCCUACAAAGAAGCAGCAGCUGUUAUUAUUCUCAGCCGGUGGCUGCGUCAAGACUUGAAACCCAGUCUCUUUGAACCAGAUCCAAAGUCUGUCCUUUGGAAGCUUUGAGGGGGAAAUGAAUUAGACAUAAGAAGGUUUAGAAUAGUGGUUCUUAAAGCGUGGUCCUCCAACCGGUAGCACCGGCAUCACCUGAGAACUUGCUAGACAUACAUUCUUGAGCACCACCCCUGACUUUCGGAACCAGCAGUCUGUUUUAUUAUGACUUGCAGGUGAUUCUGAUGUUGGUUCAAGUUUGAGAACCAACUGGGUUGGGUGGUUUAUUUGAGGAGUGAGCCCCUGACUAGCCAGACCCUCUACAGAAAGGGCUGGUCUUGCCCUCUUGGUAUGCCGUUCAGUGAGGAAUCCCUCAUACCAUCAGGAUGGAGCCUUUCUCUUUCACAUUGCAAAACUCUGAAAAUGUUUAAUGGUGGUUAUUCCUAUCAGUCUAGAAGGGCCCAAACAAGCUGACCCAUCCAACCUCCCCAGUAACCCCCACUGGUGAGUCCUUCUGGCAACUGUCCUGCUUGGAAUUUGCAGAUAAUAGAACAUGAAUCAAAAGCUCCAUAUUUUGAUAGCCAUGGCUGAGAAUCAGCACAUCCCCGGAAUUCAGGAUCACAGCUGGCCAGAGAAGAGAAGCAGUGAGUUCCCCGUCCUUGGAGACAGGCAGAGGCUUCAGAAUCACUGGUGGGGAUGUUGAGGGGACACUCAGGGGACUGAUGGUUCCUGGUUGAGAUGGCUGUAGGUCUUCUGGCCACUGCCCCCAACUCUGCUUCUAAGUCUUCUUGAUCAGCGAAACCACAGGCAUUGAAGUGGAACCACCAAACCUACUCUAGAAGCUGGUUUUCGCCUUCCCUUUCUGUCCUGUAAAUUCUCUGAAUCACCAUAGUUUGCUGAAAAAUUUACAAGUACAGCUAAUGCUAGUUUAAUCCAGCUUUUCUUGGUACAGAGCUGUGGUGCCGAAGUGACCACAGUCCCGAGUCCCAAGGCUGGAGGGAGCUUAAGUGAGAAUCUGGUCACUCUGCCUCCAACUGUUUUUCAAGCCCAGGGUCCUACUUGUUGGUCACUGCUCAUGUAGAAACAGGAUGGAUUUGCUUGAGAGACAUUGGUAUUUCCAGCCUAGGAAGCCCAGAAAGGGUCAGAGGCUGCCACAGCCUCCCUUCCUUUGUUCUUUUUCUCAAGUGGUAAAAGUGUUUUGGCACAGGUGACACACCCCUUGGGCACCUACCCAAGAGAAGGUCUCAACAGUAAAGAGCGAUCUCGAUUAGUCUUAAUUUAGCACCUAGCCCAGCCGCCCUCACCUCCUCCUUUGUACUUAAAUAGCUCCUUUCAUCCAACAAGUUCAAAGCUGUCUAACAAAAUAAACCUGCUUAUUCUUGCACCAUGAUAGCGUAGGCAAGCAUUGACCUUCCCAUUUAAGGGAGAGAGAGGGAAGGUGAGUCAUUCAAUGGUUGAAGGAGUUUGCUGGUGACAUAAAGUGAGUCAGUGGGGCCCAGGGUGACUGACCUGUGUUUCUUGAGUUCACAUCCAAUGCUCUAUCAUUUCUAAUUAAAAGAUUAGCUUUGAUGAGACCAUACGUGUG